rnacentral:lncRNA from 10 species
CUGUUCUUGCACAAAGGCACACUUCCCAGACUGCAGGAUGGCCGCCUUGCACCUUUAUAAGAAGGUAUUCUUUUCACCUUCCCAAAUGUAUAAAUAUUGUGUUGAUUUUUUUUUUAAGUGAACACUGCUAAAUGCUAAGCAUUUGGUGGAAAACCACCACAUUCCAGAAUCAGGCAGCCAAGCCCAUCCCCAUUCCCCCCUCCCCAUCCCUCUCCCCCCUUCACUGCCACCGUCCACUUGGCAGCUGUGGUUUUCCCAAGAGGAGCCCAGGUAUCCAUGUGUCUCUCAACAUGUGUCUUUCUAGUAGGAGCCUGUACAGCAAUAGUGAAAUGGCUCACACUCUCACACAUGCACACACAGCCAGAAUAAAUUGUAUAAUCAAGCUCCUCUUAGCUAAGUUCUGUAACAUCUGUUUGUGUUAAGUGGUGCUCUUUGAAAAUGAUUCCCCCCUCCCUUUAUAAAAACAACCUUAAUUUUAGAUUGUGGAGAAAUGGCGCAUGACAAUUAUUUUUGCUUUCUUCAACAAGAUGUGUUUAAGUAAAUGAGAUUCAUUUCUAGAACUGAAGCGCUGAAAGAGCCUGAUUAACAGAAUCAGUGCCUACAAUCAUAUGUAAUAACUGUGGGCAAACAGCCCCGCGUGGCUGGGCUGCAGAGGCCACUGCUGCUGUGGGUUCGGCUUGCCGGCAGACUUCAGCAGAUGGGCUGCUAAUAUAAUUAGGAAUCGUUGUGUUAAAUGAGCCAUUAUUUAAAUUAUCUGCUAAUUUUCCUAUCUAUUAACCUGCUGAAAUAGAGAGAGUAAUAUCUGAGAAAUCUCAGGCUGCUAAUCACUAACUAGAUGAAUCGCCCAGUUUUUCCCUUUAAUGCAACAUUUUACCUUAUUGCAGCAAUUAGCAAAUGGCUUUCUGUAGGGUUAUUGCCCAGUGCAUCAACCAGAGAUUAAGAAGGGACAGUGGGAGACGUCCACAGUCUGUUUAGGUUUCAUCCAGGUGGCAGAUUGGUGGCUAGACCAUGGCUUCUAGCCGAGGAGGCUCUUAGCUUUCUCGACCACUGUUUUCUUGUUUAUUUCAUAGUCUCUGCAUUAAAGGAUAUUUGGCCUUCAGAAAGCUUCUCUUAGUCCAUUUGGGCUGCUAUAACAAAAUACCUUAGACUGGGUGGCUUAUUGAUGGCAGACAUGUAUUUCUUACAGUUUUGGGAGCUGGAAGUCCAAGACCCAGGCACUGGCAGAUUGAGGUCUAGUGAGGGCUUUGUGCUUCAUAGAGUCAGUGCCUUCUCUCUGUCUCCUUACAUGGCAAAAGGGAUGAGCGAGCGCUCUCACGUACUUUUGUAAGGGCACUAAUCCUAUCUCUUAGGGCCCCACACUCAUGAUCUAAUUGCCUCCCAAAGGCCUUGCCUCCUAAUAUCAGUACGUUGGGAAUAAGGGUUCAUCAUACAAAGUUAGGGGUCAGGGCACAGACAUUCAGAGCACAGCAGAGCAUAAGGUGAGGACUGUGUGAGUAUAACUUCUCUCACUCUCCCUACCCUGAGACACUGGUAGGGGGCAGGAAAGUGAGGUAGGCGGGAGGAGGAGGUCAAUACAGGGUGCACUCAGAGUGGGCUAUUGCAGUGCACAUCUGGGGCUCAACCCCACCAAGGACUUCUGGGGGAUGACACAGAGACCACUCCAAACUGUUUGCCUGGGGAGUAAGGGAGCAACGGUUUGGACCCACCAGCUGUUUAUUUUUGGUCAAGGGCUGCUCCCAGGAGCAUUCACUCCCUGGUACGUCAGACCUGACUUGGACACUAGAUAAUCUCACUCCUGAGGUUACAGAAGCUGAAGUGAGUGCCCAAGGAAUAUGGGUAGGCCACCAGCAAUCUCUGCUGUCUUCUCGCUUCUAGCUUUGCUUAUACUUGGACAUUUAAGAGACAAGUUUGUGGUUAUUUAUAUAGCAGCUGGGAAGUUGACUAAGUUUAGCCUACCCUUGCCAUGUCUAGAAAAUCUAAAUUAAUUCUUUGCACACAUGAUUUAGGAGUUUGGCCUGUUGAACUUUCUCCGGCUACUUCCAACUUCUUGGCAGGUUUGUUGACCUAAUUGGCAUUCUCUCUGCUCCCAGGUGGGGGCUCAUGGACAUGCUUCCCCAUCUGAAGGAACAAGUGAUUAGUGAAUUCCUAUUAGUUGCAGGCACUGUGGGGACCAUCAAAAAGAGACUAAGAAGAAGAGCUUUGUCCUUAAGGAAUUUACAAGCUCAUUGAGAG